GGAGUUCCACGUAGUUAAAUAAAAGACAAAAUAAGCAUGUAGUACCGACGGUUGACGUGUUCUGGACGCGGGUUCAAGUCCCGCCAGCUCCACCA
rnacentral:tRNA from 1 species